AGUGAACGCUGGCGGCGUGCUUAACACAUGCAAGUCGAACGAGAACGGGUUAUAGCUUGCUAUAAUUGUCAGCUAAGUGGCGCACGGGUGAGUAAUGUAUAGGUAAUAUGCCUCUUACUAAGGGAUAACAAAUGGAAACGUUUGCUAAUACCUUAUACUCCUUAUUAACAGAAGUUAAUAAGGGAAAGAUUUAUUGGUAAGAGAUUAGCCUGUAUUGUAUCAGUUAGUUGGUGGGGUAAUGGCUUACCAAGACUAUGACACAUAACUGGUUUGAGAGGAUGAUCAGUCACACUGGAACUGAGACACGGUCCAGACUCCGACGGGAGGCAGCAGUGGGGAAUAUUGCACAAUGGACGAAAGUCUGAUGCAGCAACGCCGCGUGGAGGAUGACACAUUUCGGUGCGUAAACUCCCUUUAUAUGAGAAGAUAAUGACGGUAUUAUAUGAAUAAGCACCGGCUAACUCCGUGCCAGCAGCCGCCGUAA
rnacentral:rRNA from 1 species